rnacentral:rRNA from 1 species
UACGAAGGGGGCUAGCGUUGCUCGGAAUCACUGGGCGUAAAGCGCACGUAGGCGGAUUGCUAAGUCAGGGGUGAAAUCCUGGAGCUCAACUCCAGAACUGCCUUUGAUACUGGCAACCUUGAGUCCGGGAGAGGUGAGUGGAACUGCGAGUGUAGAGGUGAAAUUCGUAGAUAUUCGCAAGAACACCAGUGGCGAAGGCGGCUCACUGGCCCGGUACUGACGCUGAGGUGCGAAAGCCAGGGGAGCAAACGGG